rnacentral:rRNA from 1 species
UACGAAGGGGGCUAGCGUUGUUCGGAAUUACUGGGCGUAAAGCGCACGUAGGCGGAUUGUUAAGUUAGGGGUGAAAUCCCAGGGCUCAACCCUGGAACUGCCUUUAAUACUGGCAAUCUCGAGUCCGAGAGAGGGUGAGUGGAAUUCCGAGUGUAGAGGUGAAAAUUCGUAGAUAUUCGGAGGAACACCAGUGGCGAAGGCGGCUCACUGGCUCGGUACUGACGCUGAGGUGCGAAAGCGUGGGGAGCAAACAGGGAUUAAGAAACC